rnacentral:rRNA from 1 species
GUGGGGAAUCUUGCGCAAUGGGCGAAAGCCUGACGCAGCCAUGCCGCGUGAAUGAUGAAGGUCUUAGGAUUGUAAAAUUCUUUCACCGGGGACGAUAAUGACGGUACCCGGAGAAGAAGCCCCGGCUAACUUCGUGCCAGCAGCCGCGGUAAUACGAAGGGUGCUAGCGUUGCUCGGAAUUACUGGGCGUAAAGGGCGCGUAGGCGGACAGGUUAGUCAGAGGUGAAAGCCCAGGGCUCAACCUUGGAAUUGCCUUUGAGACUUGCUGUCUUGAGUUUGGGAGAGGUGAGUGGAACUCCGAGUGUAGAGGUGAAAUUCGUAGAUAUUCGGAAGAACGCCAGUGGCGAAGGCGACUCACUGGCCCAAUACUGACGCUGAGGCGCGAAAGCGUGGGGAGCAAACAGGAUUAGAAACCCCGGUAGUCC